UACGUAGGGGGGCAAGCGUUGUCCGGAAUUAUUGGGCGUAAAGGGCGCGUAGGCGGCCAUUCAAGUGACGGGUGAAAGCCCUCGGCUUAACCGAGGAACUGCCUGUCAGACUGGAUGGCUUGAGACCGGGAGAGGUGAGUGGAAUUCCCAGUGUAGCGGUGAAAUGCGCAGAUAUCAGGAGGAACACCGGUGGCGAAGGCGGGUCUCUGGGCCGAUACUGACGCUGAGGAGCGAAAGCGUGGGGGAGCGAACAGG
rnacentral:rRNA from 1 species